CAAUUAAGGUGUUUAUCUGAAAACAUUGCAGAAUGAAUAAUAUGCAAAGGCCUCUUUUUCAGACCUAAACACUGGACCUUUAUUCCACGAAGAAUUUGCAAUGAAGAUGGAGAAUAUUCUGGCUGCACCUGGCCCUCCACCGACAGCAAAGGAGGCCAACUAGAUGAUGGCCUUUGAAUCCUACUUCCCCUUGCUAGUGAAGGAGCUAGUUUUGAAUACUGAAAACAAGUGCAAUCUUCAUGAUACUGGAGCCAUCAUCUGGAACCACCUUAGCAUGAGGCCACCUCUCUCAAAGAGGGUACUACACUGUCCUGAAGCUCUUGUAGUUCCAUACUGUCUUGCAGAACAGUUCGCAAUAGUAAGCAAGGUCACAAGUGUGCCCUGUGUUAAGAAAGACUGGGACACGCUGGUCUGAGGACAAGAACUCUAGCUCAUUUUGUUCUAUUCCCGGAACGGCAAGUGCUUGCUGGAGAUUAUUCAUCCACAAUUCGGAAGUGCUGUGAGGCUGUUUACCACUGCAUCCUUCUGCCCUGUUACAUAACACAAGAGGAUGGACUCCGGAAAACACAGAAGGUGGAAUGCUCGCAUAACGUUGUGUGAGAUACAUCUCGAACCCUCUUCACAAGUGUCUCACAACUGUUGUUAAAAGCCACUUCCUCCCCCCCCCCAGCUCAUAAGUUUCCUUUGGUUGAACAAUUGCAAUGUAUAGUCAGAGUUUGAACGGUUGCCAACUAAAAUUCUUGCAUCAGGCUCCAUGGCUGUCUGUUCCACCAAGACAAAUAAGAGCGGCCCCAACCCCUCACUUAGUGCAUUGUUCACGGUGCUGAGCCGUGAUUUUCCAUAUCUGACUGUCUUUGUGUUCACCCCAGGAGGAAGGGUGAGCCUGGUUUAUUGAGUUCUUAUUUCUCACAAAGCGGUAACAUCUGGAGGGUUGAGCAGUUUGUUGGCAGGUCCAAUCUGAAGGAAUUCGGCCAUGGUUCCGAUUGGCUCUUAUCAGUAGGUGUCACUAAAGACAGUUUCAGAGACAGAAAAAUAAAUAGGCCAAUUAAGUAAUGCCA
rnacentral:lncRNA from 1 species